GACGAACGCUGGCGGCGUGCUUAACACAUGCAAGUCGAACGAUGAACCAGGGCUUGCCCUGGGGAUUAGUGGCGAACGGGUGAGUAACACGUGGGCAACCUGCCCCAGACACCGGGAUAACCUCUCGAAAGAGUGGCUAAUACCGGAUACGACCACUUUGGGCAUCCAACGGUGGUGGAAAGGAUUCUGGUCUGGGAUGGGCCCGCGGCCUAUCAGCUUGUUGGUGGGGUAAUGGCCUACCAAGGCGACGACGGGUAGCCGGCCUGAGAGGGCGACCGGCCACACUGGGACUGAGACACGGCCCAGACUCCUACGGGAGGCAGCAGUGGGGAAUAUUGCGCAAUGGGCGAAAGCCUGACGCAGCGACGCCGCGUGAGGGACGAAGGUCUUCGGAUUGUAAACCUCUUUCAGCAGGGACGAAGCGAAAGUGACUGUACCUGCAGAAGAAGCACCGGCUAACUACGUGCCAGCAGCCGCAGUAAUAC
rnacentral:rRNA from 1 species